CUCUUAAUGAUGAGAUCUUUACCGCCCCAGUCUGAUUCCUGUGACUGAGUGGUCCCUCUGACGCC